GUUGUUCGAUGUUUGCAUGUUGCACAGGUACUUUCCCUAUAACCCCCAAACCCAUCUCAAAUGUGCUAAUGCCUCUUUCGUUACUUUGUGCCGGAGCGAAUUGGAAAUUAUUUCUGAUGCCUCUUUCAUUACGUUGUUGUGGUCUAUAUAGUGUUUAAGAGCUCCAUUUCACUCAUGACCUACAUCAUAGAGGCAUUCGUCGCCAUCAUCCUUGAUGGCACUUAUAUAUAUAUUUUUUAUCUCAACCAAAGUUAUCAACAUAUGCAAUUGAAGAGGCCUAGCGCGUCUGGCACCCUGAUUGAUUCAAAAGGGUGCUCCAACCAUUGAUCCUAAUGUCUGUGAUGAGAUGUGUUUAAUUUGGAAGGAGCUAGCUUGCCUUGGACUCCAUUCGUGACCUUAAACUUUACUGCCAUGGCUUGCCUUGGAAUUAUGCUACAAUUUGUAGGAAUUGUUUGCUUUGGCCGCAUAGUGCUUGUUAAUAUUUUGAAUUAUUGUCAUUCUGAGUUUCUUUCCUUGAAAUUUGUUGAUUAGGAUAGUCCCUUGUUAGUUUAACUCAUUUCAUUUGAUACCCACUGAUUCUUGACUUUAUGAAAUAAAACAGGAAAUUCCCUUGGCAUUUAACUUAUGGAAUAGGAUUUUGAGUGCCAUAGUUUUUCAGGUUAACCAGAUAAAAGAUAAUGUUGCUGCAAAAGGAACACAAUGCACACAUGUAGAAGAAAGCCUCCUGAUUUUUUAAGGAUUUUUUGUUGUCAUCAUUUGCCUGGCCAUCUAGAGUCUCAUCUGAUGAGAGUUGUGUCGAUAAUUCGGACAUUUUUCUAGAUAUUGCAAAAAUUAGAGGAUGAGCAUGUCUCUGUAGAAUGACAAUUAGCUGUAGAAAUUGCAAAAAUUAUUCUUUAAUGCUAUAUUUGGUGAAUACAUUAAAUGGAAGAAAUAGUAAUUGCAAGGCGUAAUAUUAGUAACUAGGUGAAUUCCCCGCGCGUUGCUGCGGGAAUAUUUGGACCAUAUCAAAAAAAUGCUGGAACAAUUAUUGAGUGAGUGCCCAGAUAUAAAGAGGGCCAUGCAUACAUCUCAAGAAGUGAAAGAUGGAUCUCUUUAGUACUAUGUUGAACAUAGAAAGAAAAUCAGUGACAAAAUAAUUAGAAUUUA